GCCGGAGGCCCAGCAGGACUGGGUGUCCUCUGGAGCCUGGCCCGUGCCCCACCCACCUUGGGUCUGGCUCCCUCCCUUGCUGGAGCCUCCUCGCAGGCGUUGGUGCUGGUCACGGCUGAGGGAAGGAGCACAGGAUGGAUUCUCUCUGGGUGGCCCCGCCACUCCAGGCCACACUGCAGGCCCUGGCCCUCUGGGGUCCUUAUGGUCCUUACCGGCCCCUCCAGCCUGGCUCCUGCUCAGGGAGACAGAAGCCCCAGGCCAAGCAGAGCGUGGAUCAGAUGCCGACAGAUGGAAUGAGGGUUGUCUCCGGCCUGCACAAGCCUUGGAUCCUGCAUCAGGUUUGUCUCCUCCCUCUCCAUCUCUGACAGGUGGGGUGCCCUGGCUGCCUCUAUCCUGCAUGCCCAGGGGUGCUGAGAGGGGAUCUCAGGGCCAGACUGCCCAGCUCCAGUCCCAGCCGAGGCCUUGAACAGCUCUUGACAUCUCUGGCCCUCAGCUUCUGCUUCUGUGCAUGGGGCCGCCCCCCGGUCCCUGUGGGAAGGCUGUGGGUUGCACCGAGGCACACGAAGGGCUCAGCACCUGCAGCGGCUCACAUGUGCCUGUUACCUGCGAGCAGGGCUUGGCUGCAGCAGGCGGUGGAGGACCUCUGUGGUCGAUCUGCCUCCCCUGAGCUCCCCAAAGGCUGGGGGUGUGUCCAUCUUAUUCGUGCUGUGUUGCCACAGCCUGGGCAGAGCCGGUGUCCAGAAGCUGCAGGUUGAAUAAGCCACAAAGCCAC
rnacentral:lncRNA from 1 species